UUCCGGUUGAUCCUGCCGGAGGCGACCGCUUUGGGAGUUCGAUUAAGCCAUGCGAGUCGUGAGUCUUAGGGACUCGGCAUACUGCUCAGUAACACGUGGAUAACCUGCCCUAUCGUCUGGAAUAACCUCGGGAAACUGAGAACAAGGCCGGAUAGUUCACAAUGCCUGGAACGGUUUGUGAAUCAAGGUAGGAUGGGUCUGCGGCGUAUCAGGUUGUAGGGGGUGUAAAGGACCCCCUAGCCUUCGACGCGUACGGGUGUUGGGAGACAUAGCCCGGAGAUGGAUUCUGAGACACGAAUCCAGACCCUACGGGGUGCAGCAGGCGCGAAAACUUCACACUGCAGGAAACUGUGAUGAGGGAACUCCUAGUGCAUGCACUAUGUGUAUGUAGAUCCUACUCUUAACAAGUAGAGGGAAAGGGCUGGGAAAGACCGGUGCCAGCCGCCGCGGUAAUACCGGCAGCUCAAGUGGUCGUCGCUUUUAUUGGGCCUAAAACGUCCGUAGCCUGUUUGGUAAAUCUGUGGGUAAAUCAAUCCGCUCAACGGAUUGAAUUCUGCAGAGACUGCCAGACUAGGGACCGGGAGAGGUGUGGGGUACUCGAGGGGUAGGGGUAAAAUCCUGUCAUCCUUCGAGGACCACCAGUUGCGAAGGCGCCACACUGAAACGGAUCCGACGGUCAGGGACGAAGCCUAGGGGCACGAACCGGAUUAGAUACCCGGGUAGUCCUAGGUGUAAACGCUGUGAACUUGGUGUCGGGGGUCCGCAAGGGGUCCCCGGUGCCGGAGUGAAGAUGUUAAGUUCACUGCCUGGGGAGUACGGUCGCAAGGCUGAAACUUAAAGGAAUUGGCGGGGGAGCACUGCAACGGGAGGAGCGUGCGGUUUAAUUGGAUUCAACGCCGGG
rnacentral:rRNA from 1 species